CCCCGGCUUCCUCGGACCAGUGGCCAAGACCUGGCCACACGGGCCAGCAGCCUCUUGCCAGGGCCCUGGGCUAACAGCAGAGGCCACCUGCACCCAGGAAGUUUCACAGAGAUUUUCAAGGUGUGUGAGACGUGUCUCCUUUCUCUCCGCCAAGAGUGAACGCCCUUUGACCAGGCCUUGCGGUGGU
rnacentral:lncRNA from 1 species